rnacentral:piRNA from 1 species
AAAGAGGAUAAACAAGGAACUGG